rnacentral:rRNA from 1 species
UACGUAGGGUGCAAGCGUUGUCCGGAAUUAUUGGGCGUAAAGAGCUCGUAGGCGGUUUGUCGCGUCUGCUGUGAAAUCCCGCGGCUCAACUGCGGGUCUGCAGUCGAUACGGGCAGGCUAGAGUUCGGUAGGGGAGACUGGAAUUCCUGGUGUAGCGGUGAAAUGCGCAGAUAUCAGGAGGAACACCGGUGGCGAAGGCGGGUCUCUGGGCCGAUACUGACGCUGAGGAGCGAAAGCGUGGGGAGCGAACAGG